UAAAUACUCCCUCCGUCCGAAAAUACUUGUCAUCAAAAUGGAUAAAAAGAGAUAUAUCUAAAACUAAAAUACGUCUAUAUACAUUUCCUUUUAUCCAUUUUGAUGACAAGUAUUUCCGGACGGAGGGAGUAUUUG
rnacentral:pre_miRNA from 1 species